UACAGAGGGUGCGAGCGUUAAUCGGAAUUACUGGGCGUAAAGCGUGCGUAGACGGUUAUUUAAGUCAGAUGUGAAAGCCCCGGGCUCAACCUGGGAAUUGCAUUUGAGACUGAAUAGCUAGGGUACGGUAGAGGGAAGCGGAAUUUCCGGUGUAGCGGUGAAAUGCGUAGAUAUCGGAAGGAACAUCAGUGGCGAAAGCGGCUUCCUGGACCAGUACCGACGUUCAGGCACGAAAGCGUGGGGAGCAAACAGGA
rnacentral:rRNA from 1 species